GACAGAGGGUGCAAACGUUGUUCGGAAUUACUGGGCGUAAAGCGCGCGUAGGCGGACCUGCAAGUCGGGGGUGAAAGCCCGAGGCUCAACCUCGGAACUGCCUUCGAUACUGCGGGUCUCGAGUCCGGGAGAGGUGAGUGGAAUUCCUAGUGUAGAGGUGAAAUUCGUAGAUAUUCGCAAGAACACCAGUGGCGAAGGCGGCUCACUGGCCCGGUACUGACGCUGAGGUGCGAAAGCGUGGGGAGCAAACAGG
rnacentral:rRNA from 1 species